rnacentral:rRNA from 1 species
CAGUAGCCGCGGGAAUACAGAGGGUGCGAGCGUUAAUCGGAUUUACUGGGCGUAAAGCGUGCGUAGGCGGCUUUUUAAGUCGGAUGUGAAAUCCCUGAGCUUAACUUAGGAAUUGCAUUCGAUACUGGGAAGCUAAAGUAUGGGAGAGGAUGGUAGAAUUCCAGGUGUAGCGGUGAAAUGCGUAGAGAUCUGGAGGAAUACCGAUGGCGAAGGCAGCCAUCUGGCCUAAUACUGACGCUGAGGUACGAAAGCAUGGGGAGCAAACAGGAUUAGAUACCCGUGUAGUCCCUGUCUCUUAUAC